rnacentral:rRNA from 1 species
UACAGAGGUGGCAAGCGUUGUUCGGAAUUACUGGGCGUAAAGGGCGCGUAGGCGGUCUUGUAAGUCCCGUGUGAAAUCCCUCGGCUCAACUGAGGAACUGCACGGGAAACUGCUUGGCUUGAGUUCGGGAGAGGGAAGCGGAAUUCCGGGUGUAGCGGUGAAAUGCGUAGAUAUCGAGAGGAACACCUGCGGCGAAGGCGGGUUGCUGGGCCGACACUGACGCUGAGGCGCGAAAGCCAGGGGAGCGAACGGG